rnacentral:rRNA from 1 species
CAAACCGGGAGAUAGCUGGUUCUCCCCGAAAGCUAUUUAGGUAGCGCCUCGUGAAUUCAUCUCCGGGGGUAGAGCACUGUUUCGGCAAGGGGGUCAUCCCGACUUACCAACCCGAUGCAAACUGCGAAUACCGGAGAAUGUUAUCACGGGAGACACACGGCGGGUGCUAACGUCCGUCGUGAAGAGGGAAACAACCCAGACCGCCAGCUAAGGUCCCAAAGUCAUGGUUAAGUGGGAAACGAUGUGGGAAGGCCCAGACAGCCAGGAUGUUGGCUUAGAAGCAGCCAUCAUUUAAAGAAAGCGUAAUAGCUCACUGGUCGAGUCGGCCUGCGCGGAAGAUGUAACGGGGCUAAACCAUG